AUUGAACGCUGGCGGCAUGCCUUACACAUGCAAGUCGAACGGUAACAGGUCUUCGGAUGCUGACGAGUGGCGAACGGGUGAGUAAUACAUCGGAACGUGCCUAGUAGUGGGGGAUAACUACUCAAAAGAGUGGCUAAUACCGCAUGAGAUCUACGGAUGAAAGCAGGGGAUCGCAAGACCUUGUGCUACUAGAGCGGCCGAUGGCAGAUUAGGUAGUUGGUGGGAUAAAAGCUUACCAAGCCGACGAUCUGUAGCUGGUCUGAGAGGACGAUCAGCCACACUGGGACUGAGACACGGCCCAGACUCCUACGGGAGGCAGCAGUGGGGAAUUUUGGACAAUGGGCGAAAGCCUGAUCAAGCAAUGCCGCGUGCAGGAUGAAGGCCUUCGGGUUGUAAACUGCUUUUGUACGGAACGAAAAGCCCCGGGUUAAUACCCUGGGGUCAUGACGGUACCGUAAGAAUAAGCACCGGCUAACUACGUGCCAGCCGCCGCGGUAA
rnacentral:rRNA from 1 species